rnacentral:misc_RNA from 1 species
GAAAUGCGAUAAGUAAUGUGAAUUGCAGAAUUCAGUGAAUCAUCGAAUCUUUGAACGCACAUUGCGCCCGCCAGUAUUCUGGCGGGCAUGCCUGUUCGAGCGUCAUUUCAACCAUCAAGCCCCCGGCUUGUAUUGGGGACCUGCGGCUGCCCGCAGGCCCUGAAAAACAGUGGCGGGCUCGCUGUCACACCGAGCGUAGUAGCAUACAUUCUCGCUCAGGGCGUGCUGCGGGUUCCGGCCGUUAAACGACCUUCAUAACCCAAGGUUGACCUCGGAUCAGGUAGGAAGACCCGCUGAACUUAAGC